GGGAGACAACUUCAGCUGAGUCUAUUAAGAACAGAAAGUAUACGCUUUUCAUUGUUUGAUGAAGAAAAGCUUUUGGAAGAAAUAUGGCGGACGAUUCCAUGAUUAAAUGUGGACCAUGUGAAUAUAAAAAUGAGUCGAAAAAAGCAAUUAAAUGGUGUACAGAAUGCGAAGAAGGUUAUUGCAACGAAUGUGUCAAAGAUCACAAACUCCAUAAGAUACUACGAGAUCAUCGCGUGAUAUCAGUAGACGAUUAUUUCAAAAUAGCAAACCUCUCUAAAAGUUAUCAGAAAUGUAACAUACAUGGAGAGAAUUUUGAAUAUUUUUGUCCCUCACAAGAUAAAGUUUUAUGUUUUAAGUGUUUGUCGACAAAUUUUACCUAUUUCAGACAGGAAGACAUCAUAGCCAUAAAAGAAGCGUUAACUAGUUCGAAUACAAAAGAUUAUUUGUCAAAUUUUGAAACAAAAUUGGAUGAUUUGCUUAAGGAAGUCGAUAAUAGAAUUAUAUGCCAUGAAGAAAUUGCUGAUUAUGUUGAUGAUAAGGUUGAUCAAAUAAUUUGUAAGAUAAAAGAAAUACGCAAGAAAGUUAACAAGAAGCUUGAUAAAUUAGAAGCUAGAGCAAUUGAUGAUAUGAAACAUAACAUACAUGUGAAAUCAAUGAAAGAAAAGCAUCAGAUUUUAAAAGAAAGGGCCAAAGAAGCAAGAGAAAUAAAAAGAAACAUAACACUUACCAAAGAGUACGCCUCUGAUAAAAGUCUCUUUAUUUUCAGUCGUAGAGUGCUAGAAUCAAUCGAUGAAAUAAAAAAGGCAGUGGACCGUAUGGUACGUCUAGAGCAACCAAACGAUUUACUAUUUGUAACAUCGCCAGACCUAAUUUCAGUAAUGAAUUCAAAAUCAUUUGGGGAAGUCAUAGCUGAUUACAGACCACAAGUAGAAUAUUGUACUUAAAAUUUGAACACAGAAUAUGUAGAGACUGGACCGAUGAUAAAAACUCUUGAAAAAAUAAACGAUAUUCAUUUUGAUUGUGGUCGGAAGAAAAAUCUUAAAAUAACUUGUUGUCGAAUUCUGCCAGAUAAAAGAUUUGUAGUGGCGGUUCUGGACAAUCUCAGGCUUACUGUCCAUAAAGAAGACGGUUCUCUGGAAAAGAGUCUUAUUUUGCAAGGGGUUCAGUUUUUGGCAUCACAGUUAUCGAUAUUCAAAGAAUUGCAGUAACUCAUGGCAAUCGGACUAUCGAUGUGAUAAAUUUGAUCGAUGAAGAAAAGAAAAGCAGAUUUGACAUAGACAGACCCUGUGAGGUAUACGAUAUAGUUUUUAAUAAUCACAAAUUAUUUCUCGGUAGCAGUUCAUCGUAUAUGAAUGAAAUUCUUAUAUCAACCAUGUCAGGUAACAUAAUGGGAUGCAUUCCGCUACCGAAACAUGAAAUUCCAUCAAAGUUUUAAAUGGCUCAAUUUGGAGAAAAACUUUACUUUACAUAUAAAGGCAAAACAUGUGAAAAAGUGGUGUGUUGCGAUUUAACAGGUGAUACACUGUGGAAGUUCGGCAGUAGAAAGGAUAGUUUCAAGUCGCUUGUAGAGAAAGUGUCGGGGACAGCUUUCCAGUUCCGUACAAAGGACAAUGAUAGUUUAAAGUCACCGGAUGAGCAACUGGCGAGGACGUUUUUCCAGGUCUGUACAGAUGAUGACAAUUAUGAUAGUUUAAAAAUACCUUGUCAUCUGUCGGGAACGGCUUUCCGGGUCCGUGCAAAAGACAAUGAUACUAGUCUUAAGUCGUCUCUUGCGGUAGACAAUUAUGGAAACGUUUUACUUUCGGAUAGAUCUGCUGGUGUACAGGCGAUAUCGUGCGAUGGCAAAUAUGACAAAGUCAUACGUAAGGAAUCGACAACACUGAUUGAUUAUGACAUGAAUUUGAACCUGUUAAUCCUAUGGACGGUUAUAAAGCAGAACUUUUUAAAAUAAUUUACUGAUUUUGAAUUGAACUUAAGAAAAUCUCUGAACACUGAAGUAAUGUAACUUCAGGCCUAGUAAUAUAAACAAUUUUUUUCUUA